rnacentral:rRNA from 1 species
UACGUAGGGAGCAAGCGUUGUCCGGAAUCAUUGGGCGUAAAGGGCGCGUAGGCGGCGCAACAAGUCACUUGUGAAAUCUCCGGGCUUAACCCGGAGCGGUCAAGUGAUACUGUCGUGCUAGAGUGCGGAAGGGGCUACUGGAAUUCUCGGUGUAGCGGUGAAAUGCGUAGAUAUCGAGAGGAACACCUGCGGCGAAGGCGGGUAGCUGGGCCGACACUGACGCUGAUGCGCGAAAGCCAGGGGAGCGAACGGG